GCCAGUAGCCAUAUCACCCCGCAGCUCACAGCUCCCAGCUGGCAGCCCACUGAAGCUCAGCAGGUGGGAGCCUGGCCAGCACCUGGAUGGGAGACCUCCUGGGAAAAACUAAGGCUGCUGCUGGAA
rnacentral:rRNA from 1 species